rnacentral:siRNA from 1 species
GAUCUGUACGUCCUCAAAGUUCCA